GCAUGCCCUGUUACUCAAUGGUUCAUGUUAUCUUCUGGCUGUGUUGACGAUUACCCCCCGGUCUCCUCUCUCAAGUCCUGCCUGGCAUCUCGGAGGCCCACCCCUGCCCCCAUGCCCUCGACGCCUCCAGCAUCACCAUCGUCCUCCGCCUCGCAAACCGACGUUGGGUGUGCCGCCGUGGCGGCGGGAGGGAGCUGCUCACCUGGACGCUUGCCAAGGCCGCUGCCCCCGAUUCGCUUGCCCCGUGUCACCGAUCGAACUGCUCACUUGGGAGCUCACCAAGGCCGUCGACCGUGGGCAUCGUUGGUGGACUAGCCCCGUUCGCCUGAAUUUGUCCUCUUUUGUUUUAUGUUCUGCAUUCAAAUAGUGUUCAGAUCCAAUUUUUCAUGUAUUUCUUCAGUGUUUUUUGUUAACAUAGGUGGAUGAUUUCGAGCAGGAGAAGCGCACCGCAUGCCUCACAGUGGAUGGGCAGUUUGAGGAUUUUAAUCAGGUGCACUUGGGGGAAUCGGAUUUAGAGUUUGGGAAUGAUGAGGAGGAGAUUAACGACAAUGAGGUCAUCAAGAUGAAGCCCCCCACCAUCAGGGGUGUGGCCACCACCGCAUCGUCCCAACGGUGCUAGCCUAUAUGCGAACAUGGCGCUGGUGAUCGAGGACAUGCAGUUGCUGUCAAGGUCGGCAUUUAUGAUCCUCCCCACCGCGCUUUGCAACACCAACUACUACACCUGGAGCUUCAAGAGAUUGGCUAGGUAUAUGAUGCUUUCCAUUCCCAGUGUGACGAGAAAUUGAAGAACUGGAAGAAUACCUUUUUUUGGGCUUGAUGAAUGGACUUGUAAAUCUACUUCUGCUGGGCAGUUUGCUUCUCUAUAUAAUGCGAAAACUACACAUUAUUAUUACAAUGUGGCUGAUUUUAAGUAUGGCACAUAUGAUGUCUGUACAGUCCAACAUUACAUGUGGACACACCAAGUGUACUAGGUAUAUAAUGCAACCUAUGAAUAUAUAGGCA